rnacentral:rRNA from 1 species
GACGAACGCUGGCGGCGUGCCUAACACAUGCAAGUCGAACGGAACUGUUUUGAAAGAUUUCUUCGGAAUGAAUUUGAUUUAGUUUAGUGGCGGACGGGUGAGUAACGCGUGAGUAACCUGCCUUCAAGAGGGGGAUAACAUUCUGAAAAGAAUGCUAAUACCGCGUGACAUAUCGGAACCACAUGGUUUUGAUAUCAAAGAUUUUAUCGCUUGAAGAUGGACUCGCGUCCGAUUAGUUAGUUGGUGAGGUAACGGCUCACCAAGACCGCGAUCGGUAGCCGGACUGAGAGGUUGAACGGCCACAUUGGGACUGAGACACGGCCCAGACUCCUACGGGAGGCAGCAGUGGGGGAUAUUGCGCAAUGGGGGCAACCCUGACGCAGCAACGCCGCGUGAAGGAUGAAGGUUUUCGGAUUGUAAACUUCUUUUAU